GGUUUCGUAGCUCAGAUGGUAGAGCACUUGACUUUUAAUCAAGUGGUCGCGGGUUCGAUCCCCGCCGAAGCCA
rnacentral:tRNA from 1 species